CACCACCACGCUGACUGGAUGAUGGCUUUUUAAGGACAAGAGUCUCCUUUCAACCUGUUGGCUUGUUUUCAGUAAACCUUUUUCUUCCCCCCUCAUUCUGUCCCCCCAGUGUUUGGCGGCAGCAGAACUCGACCUUUCACAGUUGCAUUUUCGCAGAAAAGAAAGCGAAAAAAGUCCAGGAAGAAGGGAAAGACGUCCAGUGAGGGGAACGCGGAGCCCAGGAGGACUGCGCCCCGUUCCUUCCCGCCGCUGGUCAGGGGUCUUAGGGCUCCGCUCCUCUCAAGAACCUGAGCACCAAGCUGCAGUUGUACCGGCAGAGCCUGAACUAAUAGAAAGUAAUUGAACACAAAAUCUGAGCAAGAAGAGUCAGAUGAAUUGAAUAUGUGACAUUUCAAGGCAUCAGGCUGUGACCGCCAUCUUACCAAAGGAACAGCCUUAGUACAGACAUUGGAGAACAUGAUGCCUCUGGACAGGACAGAAUGGAUACUACCUACCUUCACCCCACUGCCUUUCCUCAGUCUUGGCCUUCAGGGAUGACCAGGGCCCCCUUCAGAUUGACCUAUUCUUCCUUCAGCUAAUGACAAGUAUAAUUAAGAAGUGUUUGAUGACUCCUGAACAGCUAGCUAUCUUUCAUGUCAAUCACAUUUCCCAUGAUCAGCACAGGAAGUGUGAAAAAGAAAAGCUAUUUUUGCUGAACUUAACUCUUUCAGAAGCAUUCAAAUUUGGUAGCAGUGAGUUCACUUUCUGAUACAUUCAGGUAAUGAAGCUAACAGGUACUGUUACAUAUCUCUUCCGGUCAUUCUGGCCAUUGAACUCAAGUACAAGAUGUCUUUGUAGAUCUAUAAAUAAUAGUAUUUUCUAUUUCCCUGCCUGUAAGUGUUG
rnacentral:lncRNA from 1 species